rnacentral:piRNA from 1 species
UAACUACGGGAGGUGAGCCUGGACCAGU